AACGAACGCUGGCGGCAUGCCUAACACAUGCAAGUCGAACGAGACCUUCGGGUCUAGUGGCGCACGGGUGGGUAACGCGUGGGAACCUGCCCGUAGGUUCGGAAUAACUCCCCGAAAGGGGUGCUAAUACCGGAUAAUGUAUUAGGACCAAAGAUUUAUCGCUGUUGGAUGGGCCCGCGUUAGAUUAGCUGGUUGGUAGGGUAAAAGCCUACCAAUGCGACGAUCCAUAGCUGGUCGGAGAGGAUGAUAAGCUACGAUUGAACUAAGACACGGACCAGUCGCCUACGCAGGGGAGGAGUAGAGAGUACUAGGCGAUGGGCCAUGAUCUGGUACAGCAAUGCCGGGGAAGUGAUGAUGGGCUUUGUGUUGUACUUCUGUUUUUGCCGAGAUGAUAGUGACGGUACCGGGUGAAUAAGCACCGGCUAACUCCGUG
rnacentral:rRNA from 1 species